rnacentral:rRNA from 1 species
AACAGGUGAGUAACACUUGGGGAACCUGCACUUAAUUUCGGAUAAUCUCAGGAACCGCGGGGUUCUACCGGAAAGGACGUCUUGGUGCUCGGUGGGAGAUGGAUACUCUCGGCGAUAGGGUAGUUGACUCGCGGAUUGUCAGCCCAAGGCAAGGGGUGGUGGCUUGACAAGAGAGUGACAUCUACCCCACUGGAGAGGAGACCCGGUCACAACUCGUACGAGAUGCAGCACAUAGUGAAUACUGGAGCCAGCAGUGGAGACAUGUUGCGACACAUGGGCGGAAUCAUGAUGCAGCAUCUCCGCAUGGGGGAUGUCGGCUUUCGGGGAAGUAACCAACGUUUACGUGUGUAGACGCGUGAGUGCCCGUUCAUGUCUAAAGAAGCACGGGUUAAUUCGGUGCCACCAGCCGCGUAGUUAGUUAGGGUCAGAGCGCAGUCACGAAUUUAUGGGGGUUAAGCGGGUGUAAGGGGUUUGAUAAGUUCGGAAGGGUAAUCCUGGGGUCUAACCGUGGAGCGUGCAUUGGAUACGGAAAACUUGAGGCAGGUAGGGGAGAAUGGAAUUCCAGGUGGAGCGGUGGAAUGCGCAGAUAUCAGGAGGAACACCAGUGGCGAAGGCGGUUCUCUGGUCCGUUCCUGACGCUGAGGAGCGAAAGCGUGGGGAUCGAACAGGAUUAGAUACCCUGGUAGUCCACGCCGUAAACGAUGAGUGCUAGGUGUGGGGGGUUUCCGCCCCUUACUGCUGCAGCUAACGCAUUAAGCACUCCGCCUGGGGAGUACGACCGCGAGGUUGAAACUCACAGGAGUUGACGGGGACCCGCACAAGCGGUGGAGAAUGUGGUUUAAUUCUAAACACCGCGAAGAACCUUACCAAAUCUUGACAUCCUCUGACCCCUCUAUAGAUAAAGUUUUCCCCUUCGGGGGACACAGUGACAAGUGGUGCAUGGUUGUCCUCAGCUCCUGGCCUGAGAUGUUGGGUUAAGUCCCGCAACGAGCGCCACCCUUAAUCUUAUGUGCCAUCAUUAAGUUGGGCACUCUAAGUUGACUGCCGGUGACGAACCCGAGGAAGGUGGGGAUGACGUCAAAUCAUCAUGCCCCUUAUGAUUUGGGCUACACACGCUGCUACAAUGGACAAUACAAAGGGUAGCGAAACCGCUAGGUCGAGCAAAUCCACAUAAAGAUGUUCUCACUUCGGAUUGAAGUCUGCCACUCAACUAUAUGAAGCUGGAAUCGCUAGUAAUCGUACAUCAACAUGCUACGGUGAAUACAUUCCCCGGUCU